rnacentral:misc_RNA from 1 species
AAGUCGUAACAAGGUAACCGUAGGUGAACCUGCGGUUGGAUCAUUAUAAAAUGUGUGUUUUCCCUUGUGCAAUCUCAUCAUUUAAGUGCUUUUGGGUACUUUCGUGAUUAUAUAUAAGAAUAUUAUUAUAUCAUUAACUUACAAACAA